CUCUAACUAAAGUGAAAUGAAAUGUUUGCUUCAACAAAAUGGCUAGUUUUUUUUGUUUUCAAGCACAAAAUGGCUGCAGUUGCGCUCUCCUUGCAUUAAACAUGGCUGCUAUGCUAUGAUGCAGAGAACGACUGGGAAGAGGAUGCGAGAGAAGGAGAACAGCUUCAUCUCUGCUAAUUUUACCCUUUACUUUAAACGAAAACAUUCGACUGACAUGGCAAAAACGUAACCGUAUUUUCUUGUUUAUAUUUUCCGAAAAAAUCGGUCACUUCAAGGAAAAACUACACUUGUGUAAAAGCACCGAAUUAGUAUUUUUUUUCCUUCUUCUCGCUUUAGAAAAACUCUCUGGUGAAUGACGAAACUAACAAGGCGAGAGAGGUGAAUAAAAGGGGGAGGACGAGGUAUCCACUGAGGUGGGCAGCGCAAAACGGACAGAGUUUGGGGUUUUUAAAACAAUUAAAAAGAUUGAGAAACGGACAGAAACUGGAAAAGGAAAUGGUGCGCUCACAGCAGGACCGAGCGAGUUAAAAAGAGUCGAAAAAGACAGGGAUCAAUUAGAGAGAAAGUAGAGCUGACUGAAAUGGUCUUUCACAGCAGGGGACCGAGUAAGACGCUGAAUGAGAGAGAGGAGGGGAAAAAACAACAGCAGAAUUAAUGUUUUGACAAGUUGCCCCGAGUAAGUGCAGGGAGCGGAGCAAAGUGAAUAGGAUGAAAGACGAGGGCACCCGGGAGCUGUUUUCCAUGAGACGCCGCUCAAUCAAGACCGAAUAUUGGAGGUGGAAUUGGGUCGGACGGCUUACGGACUGGACUGCCAUUCCCACUCUUACUGGGCAGCAUUCCCUGCUGAUCCCGCAUCAGCCAAGCAGAGCGGAAGGUCAACAUAACUGCAGGGGUCUGAGAGCCAGCCUCGCUCCACGCACAGGACACGCACACACACACACACACACACACACACACACACACACACACACACACACACACACACACACACACACACACAACACAACACACACAACACGACACACACACACACACACACACACACACACACACACACACACACACACACACACACACACACACACACACACACACACAAACACGCACAUAAGCAUUCACACAUCGUGUUAUAGCAAAAGAAAUGGCAAAUUGAAAUAUGUACAGAUAAUUUAAAUAAAAUAUCAACUGACAACAGCUAAUAAUAAAUAUGAUUUCAUUGC
rnacentral:lncRNA from 1 species